rnacentral:rRNA from 1 species
GACGAACGCUGGCGGCGUGCUUAACACAUGCAAGUCGAACGGUGAAGCGCCUUCCUUUUUGGUGGGUGUGGAUGAGUGGCGAACGGGUGAGUAACACGUGAGUAACCUGCCCCCUUCUUCUGGAUAACCGCAUGAAAGUGUGGCUAAUACGGGAUAUUCUGGGUCUGUCGCAUGAUGGGUCCUGGAAAGAUAUUGUUUCGGUGGGGGAUGGGCUCGCGGCCUAUCAGCUUGGUGGUGGGGUGAUGGCCUACCAAGGCGGUGAGGGGUAGCCGGCCUAGGAGGGUGGACGGUCACACUGGGACUGAGACACGGCCAAGACUACUACGGGAGGCAGCAGUGGGGAAUAUUGCACAAUGGGAGCAAGCCUGAUGCAGCGACGCCGCGUGAGGGAUGGAGGCCUUAGGGUUGUGAACCUCUUUCGCCAGUGAAGCAGGCCUGCCUCGUUUGUGGGUGGGUUGACGGUAGCUGGAGAAGAAGCGCCGGCUAACUACGUG